rnacentral:sRNA from 1 species
UUAGAUGGCCAAGAGUUCUAACGCCAAGUCUUCUUUCUCAAAUCCUAA